UUAAAUUGAAGAGUUUGAUCAUGGCUCAGAUUGAACGCUGGCGGCAGGCCUAACACAUGCAAGUCGAGCGGAAACGAGUUAUCAGAACCUUCGGGGAACGAUAACGGCGUCG
rnacentral:rRNA from 1 species